GGCCCUUAUUUAAAUGUAGCCAAGAGGAAAACCAAACUAUGUGGAAGUGUUUCCUCCAGCAGUGUCUGUGACAUACAUCCGAGAGUUCUCAUCUGUGUACUGGGAGUUGAUUCCCAGCUGGGCAGACAUGCUCACAAAGGUUGACUAUUUUACCCUGAAAUACUCUUCAAUAUCCCUUGGUAAUCUUAACAGCAUGGAAUUUCCCCUAUACAAACCCUUUAGAGACAGAAAAAAUGAAGAUUAAAUGAGAAAAGUGAGCGAGUGGGAAUGUAAAAGAAAAGAGGUAUCAGUGCACACAUAAGAUGCAUUUGAGUUGUUGAAAGCUGAAAACUCACAAAUUUCAAAGAGCAUUUGCAUAUUCAUUCCACUAAAUGAUAUGCUAAUCCACUUGAUUUGCAUCCCGGUGACCUCCUGUUGCGAAACGCUUCAUGCUUAGAUUCUCCGAAUGAAAGAACAGAAAACAGAACAGAAGGGAAAACAACUUGUUGGGGCCCAGCGGACAGGCUUGCGUGUCUCUGGAAGCGGAGGAUCAUAAGGGACAUAAAAGCGCACUUGUGAUCUUUGAAUGGCAAGAAAUAAAAGGCACAUCAGAGCUGAAGAGCAGCGACAAGAAAACGCUAUAGAAAGUUACUGUGGCGCGCUGUACAGAUGUGAAUGCUGAAGUAAACGAAGUGCAUGACACAUCAGAAAUCAUUUCUACUUCUCAGUCAUCAAAGAGAGCACAUGGAUCCAAAGUAGAGCGACAGAAUGAGGGAUGUAAAGAGAAAAAGGGUUGAAGAGUUAGAGAGGGAGGGAGGGAGGGUGUGUGGGGGGAAGAACAUGACACAAAGUGGCGAAUGAACACGGUGGUUUUGCGAGGUUGGCACGGUGCCAUCCACUCAGCGCCGGUGCCAAAGAGGGCGUGUAGGCAGGGUGGCAUUACAGAGGAGAGAGGAGGAGAGACAGAUAACGAGAGAAAAGAGAGGCAUCAUCCAGCUGCCAAUUCUCCAAACGAGAUGUUGCCGAGCAUUGGAUUCAAAAGUUGGGGCUCUUUGAAGAUCCAUCCGCCAGCUCGACAGCAUGGCAACUGUAAAAUCGCAAAACCCUUCGCCAAAACCUCGUCAUUUCGAUUCCCUCAGGCUACGCCAUCCUGCUGCAUUUCGCCGUCUCCUUUGUGACCGUGCCAGGCUCCAAGUAGGCACAUCCCCCAGAGAGCCAGCAGCACAUGCCCCGGUGUCGAUGCCACUCGACGCGGGUAUGAUGGCAUCUGCCUCGUAUUAAUGGAGAUAUGCGACUUGUCUUGUUAUUCUCGUUGGCACGCACAAACCUUCGGCAGCGUGCCAGGAUCUCUGCGCCGCCGCGUGCCGCUGGGAAGCUGGCGGUGGCUUGGGAAUGGCAGAGUGCCAGCAUGUUCCUGCAGCCCCCGACGCGUGCCACUUGGCAAAGACAAAGAGCCCUAGGGACGAAACACAAAACAAGAUUGAAAAACACAGUGAUCCGACAGCUUAAUUAACACUUGCAGAGUUUGUUGGGUUAAUUAGUGUGACAGAUUUGGUGAGGAGGAAUGUGGCAGGAACACUUGUGUGAACAAAAGUGAUGGGCAAACCAGACUGAAGGAAUGUCGACGGAAGUCAGAGAGCCAGCAGUUAUGCUAACAUUGCUUAACAUUCAAGGAUAAAUGAAAAGUAAAGGAAGAGUAAAGAAAGUAAUGUGAAGUUGGUGGACUGGACAGAAGAAACAACUGAGGAUACAAGCAAACAGGGAGGAGCUAAAGAAAACCACAGGCCUUGACUUAAACAGUGACUCAUCAAAUCGCAACUAUUGUUGUGGUAUACGACUUUUUUUUAUCUACUGCAAAAACUCAGAAAGUACUCCGCAGUGGCUUACACAAAUAUACACUCAGCAGAAGCGAGAGUGAACGUUCAUGAGUACGUCGGGAACACCAAAAGGAUAAAUGACGGCGGGUAUUAGCAUGGUGAAGUUUACCAGAUGGAUGCACAACUUUUGAAAUCUCUCGGUGUGCAGAGCUUUCCAAGACCAGGGAGAGAUUUGUGCUUGAAUACCUGUUCUGAGGAUCCACGAAGCUUCCUGUUGAGUCCGAGAGAAAAUAAUGCCACUCAGAGAGUGAGUGAGAGAAUUCGGUCUCUCGAAGGAUGUGUUUGACAUUGUAGAGGAGUAUAAAUAAUGCAGAUUCUCUCCUCCUCUUCCUUCCCGUGCUUUCCCAAGGAACAGAUUUACAGACGUUUGUGCAUCGAAUCUUUCAUUGACACCGCUCUCGUUAACUAACGGAGGAUUUGUUCCGAAACGGGCAUUGUUUUCAGCGUAACCUUCUAUAAACAAGUUCAAAUUAGCCGUUAACAACCAAACGAAAUGGGACGAUUAAUGUUGUUUUCUCUUGUUUUUUUUUGCAUUUACAUCUUUCUUUGUACCGAUUGCGGACAAUUAUGUACGGAUAUGCUAAUCGUGCUGUAUUAAUGAGGUUUGUAUCGCUGGGAUUCUCGUCUUUACUCCUGUGGGGAUCUUAAUUUUACCUCAUCUUUAUUAUGUAAAUGGAUUAUGCCAAAAACAACUGUGUGCGCACACACACACAUACAAACACACACACAAUAACACAAAAGGGGGCGAGUCAAAGGAAGAGGGAAUAAGGCAACGGUGGGAGGGGGGGGAUAGCGGAAAAUGGAGGAUAUGCUUCCUUACCAGCUUCAACACCAAAACGCAAGAAACUGCCGAGAAAUCUGAAAGGAUCUAUCAACUCAAUGCGUCACAUACCAAGAUGCAGGACUAAUGCGUUGAAUUUUCAGUGCUUUUUUAUUUCUUCUAGAUAUUUCUGCUGUAGCAGUCCUGCCAUGGAGUGACAGAGCCAAGGAUGGGAUUUACUAGAUGAAAAGAGAGAGAGCGAGAGAGAAUGGUUAAUAUCCUGCGCCUAAUCACGGCACAUGAGAUUGGCUGUAUGCAUAUCUCAUUUGCAUCUCAUUAAAUUGCUUGUGCACCUGCAGAGAGA